GUCGAGGGGUAACAUUGUAGCUUGCUACAGAUGACGACCGGCGCACGGGUGAGUAACGCGUAUGCAACCUGCCUUUGACAGGGGGAUAGCCCGGAGAAAUCCGGAUUAAUAUCCCAUGGUAUUUACGAAUCGCAUGGUUUGUAAAUUAAAGAUUUUAUCGGUCAAAGAUGGGCAUGCGUGACAUUAGCUAGUUGGUAAGGUAACGGCUUACCAAGGCUGCGAUGUCUAGGGGUUCUGAGAGGAUGAUCCCCCACACUGGUACUGAGACACGGACCAGACUCCUACGGGAGGCAGCAGUGAGGAAUAUUGGUCAAUGGGCGCAAGCCUGAACCAGCCAUCCCGCGUGAAGGAAGACUGCCCUAUGGGUUGUAAACUUCUUUUCUGCACCAAGAAUGGUUACUACGUGUAGUGAUUUGACGGUAGUGCAGGAAUAAGCAUCGGCUAACUCCGUGCCAGCAGCCGCGGUAAUACGGAGAUGCAAGCGUUAUCCGGAUUCAUUGGGUUUAAAGGGUACAUAGUGGCCAAUUAAGUCAGUGGUGAAAUCCUGCCGCUUAACGGUAGAACUGCCUUGAAACUGGUUGGCUUGAGUACAGUUGAGUAGGCGGAAUGUGUAGUGUAGCGGUGAAAUGCUUAGAUAUUAC
rnacentral:rRNA from 1 species